AUGCUGGGCUGCCUUGCCCUACUGUGGUCCGUCUGCUUUCCUGGCAACCAGGCGGUGGUCAGCCUGGAGCAGCCGCCCUCCGUGACGGCGCGCCUGGGCAGCUCGGCCAUCCUGCCAUGCGUGGCCAGCACUACAGUCAGCUACAUCCACUGGUACCGCCACCAGGAGGGCAAGGCCCCUGAGAGGCUCCUCCAACUGGCUAUGUUCCAGUUGGACGUACAGUGGGAUUCCGUUGUAAAAGCAGAUAAAGUCACUGCGAUGGAAGCCAAGGACGGCACCAGCUGUACCCUGUCAAUACUGAAGCUGGAGAAGAGCAAUGAGGGUGUGUACUAUUGUGCUGCCUGGGACCUGCACAUGGCAAAAGGAUGGCAGGAGAAAGCAUUUGGUCCUGGCACACAGCUCUUUGUUACAAAUAUAAGCCUUCCUGCAGACAUUUCUCCCAAGCCCACCAGUUUUCUUCCUUCAAUUGCUGAAAUAAAGCUCCAUAAGGCUGGAACAUAUCUUUGUCUUCUUGAGAAAUUCUUCCCUGAUGUUAUUAAGAUAUAUUGGAAAGAAAAGGAUGGCAGUACAAUUGUGGAAUCCCAGGAGGGAACAACUGUGAAGACUAACGACACAUACAUGAAAUUCAGCUGGCUGACCGUUACUGAAAAUUCAAUGGAUAAAGAACACAAAUGCAUCGUCCAACAUGAGAAUAAUAAAAGAGGCAUUGACCAAGAGAUUCCUUUUCCUUCAAUAAAGAAAGUGGUCGCUGCUUUUGAUUCUACUAAAACUUGUGUGACAGACGAAAUCUCCCCCCUGCAGCUGCAGCUCACCAGCACCUCUGCCUAUUACACCUACCUGCUCCUCCUCCUCAAGAGCGUGAUCUACCUUGCCAUCAUCACCUUCUGUCUGUUUAGGAGAACGGCAGUCUGUGGCGAUGGAAAGAGUUCUAACAGACGGUGGCGCAAAAAAGUCAACUUUUCUUCAUCGUUUAUUGUCCGUAAACGCAUCUCCUGAGGAUCUAGCUGGGCCUUCUCUCUGGGUUUGGGUUAUUUCAGCUUACAUGUGUCCUUUCUAUUAUGUUGUUAUCGUAUGGUGGUUUUUCAAACAACUAGGGAAACAGAAACUCUUACUGUGUAACAGCAAUGAAUUCUGCCAUUACUCAGGGGAGGGACAUAGGGUCGUCCUUUAGCACCACUCUCUCCAUGAUCUCCACCAGUUCCUUGAGCAACCUGCAUAACAAUGUCUUCCGAGUACAGACAGCAUGCAGCUCUUGUCCUGUCCCUUAGGGCCAUUUAACCAGAUAAUCAGCUAGGAGCCUUCCAUUUUGCUCAUUCUGACCCAAAAUCUUUGCUACUUAAGUUCUGGACUUUGUUUUUCAUAAU